UGAAGAAGGCCUUCGGGUUGUAAAGUUCUUUCGUGGAGGACGAAAAGGUGGGUGCUAAUAUCGCCUGCUGUUGACGUGAAUCCAAGAAGAAGCACCGGCUAACUCCGUGCCAGCAGCCGCGGUAAUACGGGGGGUGCAAGCGUUAAUCGGAAUCACUGGGCGUAAAGGGUGCGUAGGCGGUGCAUUAGGUCUGUCGUGAAAUCCCCGGGCUCAACCUGGGAAUGGCGGUGGAAACCGGUGUACUAGAGUAUGGGAGAGGGUGGUGGAAUUCCAGGUGUAGCGGUGAAAUGCGUAGAGAUCUGGAGGAACAUCAGUGGCGAAGGCGGCCACCUGGCCCAAUACUGACGCUGAGGCACGAAAGCGUGGGGAGCAAACAGGAUUAGAUACCCUGGUAGUCCACGCCCUAAACGAUGAAUACUAGAUGUUUGGUGCCACGCGUACUGAGUGUCGUAGCUAACGCGAUAAGUAUUCCGCCUGGGAAGUACGGCCGCAAGGUUAAAACUCAAAUGAAUUGACUGUANUUCUUA
rnacentral:rRNA from 1 species